rnacentral:misc_RNA from 1 species
GAUGAAGAACGCAGCGAAAUGCGAUAAGUAGUGUGAAUUGCAGAAUUCAGUGAAUCAUCGAAUCUUUGAACGCACAUUGCGCCCGCCAGUAUUCUGGCGGGCAUGCCUGUUCGAGCGUCAUUACAACCCUCAGGCCCCCGGGCCUGGCGUUGGGGAUCGGCGGAGCCCCCCGUGGCACACGCCGUCCCCCAAAUACAGUGGCGGUCCCGCCGCAGCUUCCAUCGCGUAGUAGCUAACACCUCGCGACUGGAGAGCGGCGCGGCCACGCCGUAAAACACCCAACUCUUCUGAAGUUGACCUCGAAUCAGGUAGGAAUACCCGCUGAACUUAAGCAUAUCAAUAAGCGGAGGA